rnacentral:rRNA from 1 species
GGACUACCCGGGUAUCUAAUCCCGUUUGCUCCCCUAGCCUUCGUGCCUCAGCGUCAGUAACUGUCCAGAGACCCGCUUUCGCCACUGGCCUUCCUCACGAUAUCUACGCAUUUCACUGCUACACCGUGAAUUCCAGUCUCCUCUCCAGUACUCUAGCAUUGCAGUAUCAAGUGCACUUUUGGGGUUGAGCCCCAAGAUUUCCCACCUGACUUACAUUGCCGCCUACGCACCCUUUACGCCCAAUGAAUCCGAACAACGCUCGGGACCUCUGUAUUACCGCGGCUGCUGGCAC